rnacentral:RNase_P_RNA from 1 species
AUGGGCCAGCGGACGGUCGCGUCGCGGUGUCUCGACACACGCGCCGAGGAACGUCCGGGCUGCACAGAGGAGAACGGUGGGUAACGCCCACCCGGGGUAACCCGCGAGAAAGUGCAACAGAGAGCAGACCGCCUCGCUCGGCAACGGGCGCGGUAAGGGUGAAAGGGUGGUGUAAGAGACCACCAGCGUUCGUGGCGACACGGGCGGCUAGGUAAACCUCGUUCGCAGCAAGGCCAGACAGAAGACGUUGACGCUCCUCGCCGAGUCUUCGGGUAGGCCGCUAGAACCCGUCAGUAAUGGUGGGUCGAGAGAGAUGACCGUACUAAGACAGGACCCGGCGUAUAGCUGGCCCAUUCCC